rnacentral:rRNA from 1 species
GACAGAGGGGGCAAGCGUUGCUCGGAAUUACUGGGCGUAAAGGGCGCGUAGGCGGAAUGGCAAGUCGGUCGUGAAAUCCUUCGGCUCAACCGAAGAACGUCGAUCGAAACUGCCGUUCUUGAGGAUUGCAGAGGAGACUGGAAUUCCCGGUGUAGCGGUGAAAUGUGUAGAGAUCGGGAGGAACACCGGUGGCGAAGGCGGGUCUCUGGGCAAUUCCUGACGCUGAGGCACGAAGGUCAGGGGAGCAAACGGG